rnacentral:rRNA from 1 species
UUACCAAACUGUUGCCNCGGCGGGAUCUCUGCCCCGGGUGCGUCGCAGCCCCGGACCAAGGCGCCCGCCGGAGGACCAACCUAAAACUCUUAUUGUAUACCCCUCGCGGGUUUUUUUAUAAUCUGAGCCUUCUCGGCGCCUCUCGUAGGCGUUUCGAAAAUGAAUCAAAACUUUCAACAACGGAUCUCUUGGUUCUGGCAUCGAUGAAGAACGCAGCGAAAUGCGAUAAGUAAUGUGAAUUGCAGAAUUCAGUGAAUCAUCGAAUCUUUGAACGCACAUUGCGCCCGCCAGUAUUCUGGCGGGCAUGCCUGUCCGAGCGUCAUUUCAACCCUCGAACCCCUCCGGGGGGUCGGCGUUGGGGAUCGGCCUCCCUCACCGGGGGCCGUCUCCGAAAUACAGUGGCGGUCUCGCCGCAGCCUCUCCUGCGCAGUAGUUUGCACACUCGCAUCGGGAGCGCGGCGCGUCCACAGCCGUUAAACACCCCAAAUUUCUGAAAUGUUGACCUCGGAUCAGGUAGGAAUACCCGCUGAACUUAAGCAUAUCAAUAAGCGGAGGAAAAGA